rfam:Triticum aestivum genome assembly, contig: Triticum_aestivum_CS42_TGACv1_scaffold_513384_6BS
UAUCUACUCCCUCCGUACUGAAAUACUUGUCGGAGAAAUGCAUAAAAAUGGAUGUAUCUAAAACUAAAAUACGUCUAGAUACAUCCAUUCCUCCGACAAAUAUUUUCCGCCGGAGGGAGUACAAG